rnacentral:rRNA from 1 species
GAUGAACGCUGGCGGCGUGCUUAACACAUGCAAGUCGAACGAGGUCCAUGGAGCUUGCUCCGGAAGACCUAGUGGCGAACGGGUGCGUAACACGUGAGAAACCUGCCCCGAUCUCUGGGA